rnacentral:rRNA from 1 species
UACAGAGGUCUCAAGCGUUUGUUCGGAUUCAUUGGGCGUAAAGGGUGCGUAGGCGGCGCGGUAAGUCGGGGUGUGAAAGCCCCGGGCUCAACCUGGGAAUUGCAUUCGAGACUGAAUAGCUAGGGUACGGUAGAGGGAAGCGGAAUUUCCGGUGUAGCGGUGAAAUGCGUAGAUAAUCGGAAGGAACAUCAGUGGCGAAAAGCGGCU